rnacentral:rRNA from 1 species
CCUACGGGCGGCAGCAGUGGGGAAUAUUGCACAAUGGGCGCAAGCCUGAUGCAGCCAUGCCGCGUGUGUGAAGAAGGCCUUCGGGUUGUAAAGCACUUUCAGCGGGGAGGAAGGCGGUGAGGUUAAUAACCUCAUCGAUUGACGUUACCCGCGGAAGAAGCACCGGCUAACUCCGUGCCAGCAGCCGCGGUAAUACGGAGGGUGCAAGCGUUAAUCGGAAUUACUGGGCGUAAAGCGCACGCAGGCGGUCUGUCAAGUCGGAUGUGAAAUCCCCGGGCUCAACCUGGGAACUGCAUUCGAAACUGGCAGGCUAGAGUCUUGUAGAGGGGGGUAGGAUUCCAGGUGUAGCGGUGAAAUGCGUAGAGAUCUGGAGGAAUACCGGUGGCGAAGGCGGCCCCCUGGACAAAGACUGACGCUCAGGUGCGAAAGCGUGGGGAGCAAACAGGAUUAGAUACCCCAGUAGUC